rnacentral:rRNA from 1 species
UCAAGGAAGAAAGGGCGUACGGAGAAUGCCUGGGCACAGAGAGGCGAUGAAGGACGCAGCGAACAGCGAAAUGCGGCGGCGAGCGGUAAGCACGCGAUGACCCGCCGAUAUCCGAAUGGGGAAACCCCUCCGCUCAAGAAGCGGAGACCGCAUGACGACCGUCAUGACGGGGCAAUACGCAGGGAACUGAAACAUCUAAGUACCUGCAGGAAGAGAAAGAGAAGUCGAUUCCGUAAGUAGCGGCGAGCGAAAGCGGAGGAGCCCAAACCGGACACAGUCCGGGGUUGUAGGACCGCCGACAAAGAUGACAUGAAGAGUCAGGAGAAUCCCAUGGGAAGGGGAUCCGAAGAGGGUGAGAGACCCGUAUCCGAAGGCUCGACAUGCGUCGAGGCGGCACCUGAGUACGGCGGGGCACGUGGAAUCCUGCCGGAAUCAUCGGGGACCAUCCCGAAAGGCUAAACACUACUCUGUGACCGAUAGCGAACCAGUACCGUGAGGGAAAGGUGAAAAGAACCCCGGGAGGGGAGUGAAAGAGAACCUGAAACCGCAUGCCCACAAGAAGUCAGAGCCCGUCAAAGGGUGAUGGCGUGCCUUUUGUAGAAUGAGCCGGCGAGUCACGAUCAGCAGGCGAGGUUAAGCAGGAUAUGCGGAGCCGCAGCGAAAGCGAGUCUUAAGAGGGCGGAAUAGUCUGAGGUCGUGGACCCGAAACCGGGUGAUCUAGCCAUGAGCAGGUUGAAGUCGGGGUAAGACCCGAUGGAGGACCGAACCGACCCCCGUUGAAACGUUGGCGGAUGACUUGUGGCUAGGGGGGAAAUUCCAAUCGAACCCGGAGAUAGCUGGUUCUCCCCGAAAUAGCUUUAGGGCUAGCGUCGCAGCGAGAGAGCCGUGAAGGUAGAGCACUGAAUAUGCGAUGGCCGCAUCCCGCGGUACUGAGCAUAAUCAAACUCCGAAUGUCACGGUGUCAUCUGCGGCAGUCAGACGGCGAGUGAUAAGGUCCGUCGUCAAAAGGGAAACAGCCCAGACCAUCAGCUAAGGUCCCAAAGUGCAUGCUAAGUGGAAAAGGAAGUGGAGACGUGCAGACAACUAGGAGGUUGGCUCAGAAGCAGCCAUCCUUCAAAGAGUGCGUAACAGCUCACUAGUCGAAUGACUCUGCGCCGAUAAUUUACCGGGGCUAAGCAUGACACCGAAGCUAUGGACAGGAAUGUGGUAGGGGAGCAUUGCAUGCAGCGGAGAAGCAUGACCGGAAGGGCAUGUGGAGCGCAUGGAAGAGAGAAUGCCGGCGUGAGUAGCGGCACGUGGGUGAGAAUCCCACGCACCGAUGGCCCAAGGUCUCCAGAGGAAGGCUCGUCCUCUCUGGGAUAGUCGGGACCUAAGGCGAGGCCGAAAGGCGUAGCCGAUGGACGACGGGUGGAUAUUCCCGUACCCGAUGUGUGGCGAUGGAGUGACGGAGAAGGCUCAGGCAACCAGCUGCUGGAAUAGCUGGGGCAAGCGAGAUACCUGCGCACCAGGGAAAUCCGGUGCGCAUAAGGGGAAGGCGCGAUGCAUACGGAAAGCUUCGGCAAGUACGGAAAAGCUGAGAGCAGGCUUCCAGGAAAAGCUUCUAGCACAACACACAUCGGCCCGUACCGAAAAUGGACACACAUGGGCAAGGAGAGAAUCCUGAGGUGAGCGAGAGAACUAUAGCUAAGGAACUCUGCAAAAUGACCCCGUAACCUAGGGAGAAGGGGUGCUCCAGAAAUGGAGCCGCAGUAAAACGGCCCAAGCGACUGUUUACCAAAAACACAGCUCUCUGCGAAGGCGCAAGCCGAAGUAUAGGGGGUGACGCCUGCCCGGUGCUGGAAGGUCAAGGGGAGCUGUCAGCGCAAGCGAAGCAGCGAGCCGAAGCCCCAGUAAACGGCGGCCGUAACUAUAACGGUCCUAAGGUAGCGAAAUUCCUUGUCGGGCAAGUUCCGACCCGCACGAAAGGCGUAACGAUUUGGGCGCUGUCUCAGCUGUAGACUCGGUGAAGUCUUAGUACCUGUGAAGAUGCAGGUUGCCCGCGACUAGACGGAAAGACCCCAUGGAGCUUCACUGCAGGUUGACAUUGGGCUUGGAUGCAUGAUGUACAGGAUAGGUGGGAGGCUGUGAGCCGUGCGCGCCAGCGUACGGGGAGCCGCUGUUGGGAUACCACCCUUCAUGCAUCUAGGUCCUAACCGGAGGCAACGGGCCACGGGACAGUGUCAGUCGGGCAGUUUGACUGGGGCGGUCGCCUCCCAAAGAGUAACG